rnacentral:rRNA from 1 species
ACCAGACUCCUACGGGAGGCAGCAGUGGGGGAUAUUGCACAAUGGGGGGAACCCUGAUGCAGCGACGCCGCGUGGGUGAAGGAGCACCUCGGUGCGUAAAGCCCUAUCGGCAGGGAAGAAACAGACGGUACCUGACUAAGAAGCCCCGGCUAACUACGUGCCAGCAGCCGCGGUAAUACGUAGGGGGCAAGCGUUAUCCGGAUUCACUGGGGGUAAAGGGAGCGUAGACGGCGACGCAAGUCUGGAGUGAAAGCCCGGGGCCCAACCCCGGGACUGCUCUGGAAACUGCGGCGCUGGAGUACGGGAGGGGCAGGCGGAAUUCCUGGUGUAGCGGUGAAAUGCGUAGAUAUCAGGAGGAACACCGGCGGCGAAGGCGACUAUCUGGCACAUAACUGACGCUGAGGAGCGAAAGCGUGGGUAGUAAACAGGAUUAGAUACCCCGGUACC